GGGCUGUGCAUAAAUGUUUUUAAUUUUAUUCCAGGUCAUCAGUUAAAGAUGCACUAUGCAGAAAUAGCUUAGCCAUUUCCUGGUUGCUAAAAUUCUAAUCGUUCGCCUGAUUUCAGUUUGUGAAAAAACAAGCAAGUAUAGUGUAGAGAAUCACUGUACCAUCUAAACCACUGUGAAAUAUAAUGAACAAAAAUAUAAACGCAGCAUGUAAAGUGUUUGUCCCAUGUUUCAUGAGCUGAUAUAAAAGAUCACAUAAAUGUUCCAUAUGCACAAAAAGUUUAUAUCUUUCAAAUUUUGGGCACGAAUUUGUUUAGAUACCUGUUAGUGAGCAUUUCUCCUUUGCCAAAAUAAUACAUGCACCUGACAGGUAUGGCAUAUCAAGAAGCUGAUUAAACAGCAUGAUCAUUACACAAGUGCACCUUGUGCUGGGGACAGUAAAAGGCCACUAAAACAGGCGGUUUUGUUACACAACACAAUGCCACAGAUGUCUCAAGUGUUGAGGGAGCGUGCAAUUGGCAUGCUGACUGUAGGAAUGUCCACCAGUGCUGUUGCCAAAUAAUUGAACAUUCAUUUCUCUACCAUAAUGUAGUUUUAGAGAAUUUGGCAGUAACCCCAACCGGCCUCACAACCACAGACCACGUGUAACCACACCAGCCCAGGACAUCCAUAUCCGGCUUCUUCACCUGCGGGAUCGAUUGAGACCAGCCACUCGGACAACUGAUGAAACUAAGGAGUAUUUCUGUCUGUAAUAAAGCCCUUUUAUGGUGAAAAAUUCAUUCUAAUUGGCUGGCCCUUGCUCCCUAGUGGGUGGGCCUGGCUCCCAAGAGGGUGGGCCUAUCCCUGUUGCGUUUAUAUUAUUGUUCAGUAUAUAUUUUCAAUUACCAAAAAUAUUGUAUUUUCAGCAGUUUGAAGUUGGUGUAGAAAACUGAAAACAAGACACAAAAACAAAACUUAAGAAUGGGAAGCAUAGAACUAGCGCACUUAGAAAAGCUCUACCACUUAUACUUGCUUUCAUCGAGAAUGACAGAUCUAUAACUAACAUUUCUAUGUGAAUUUUGUUGGGUUGCCCAAAAACUUACAUAUUGCAGCUUUAAGACUUAAAUGAAGAGAAUGAAAUAGAUCCACUAAAGACAAUGUCGUCUAAAACAGCACCCGGUAGCCUAGCGGUUAAGAGCAGAAAGGUUGCUGGUUCGAAUCCGAGUCGACUUGGUGAAACAUCUAUCGACAUGCCCUUAACCCUAACUGCUCCUGUAAGUCGCUCAGGAUAAGAACAUCUUCUAAAUUACACUUUUUCCCCCCCUAAAGUAAAACAAAUAAAUCAGGCAAUAGAAGAGGUAUAAAAUUACACAAUUAGAAAUAUAGAACAGUUGUUCUGAACUAAGAGUGCAAAAAGUAACACCUUCAGACAAAGACAAAAUGUUAACACAAGUGUGGAACAAACACUUGUUAUAAACUAGUCAAUUGUUUGAGGAAAUUAAAAUGAAAUAGUGCAAAACAAAAGUGCAUAAACCUGUAAUUUGUUUACUCUGUCUAUCAGUGACAGAUGUAGAUCUCCUCUCCUUCAGUGUAGGCCUUGUGUGCCCACCCUUGACUGAACAAGCACUGCACCCAGAUCUGCCCUGGCAUGGAUGAGCCAAAAUCUUCCGCACAACUUCCUGUUCAUCCUAAUUAGUUGCUCUCUUCUGAGCACUCUUGCCACACUGUUUCUGCAAGCUGCGCUUGGCUUUUGGUAUCACCUGUUUUCUCAUCCUCCAGGGCACCUUGACAGGGGUAUCGGUUAGAAUGGUGGUCGUUCUUCUCCUUCGUCAUGGGAAAAGGUCGGACAGCUACAGGGCUGAAGUUAGCCUCUCCGAAUCUGAGAGUGGAAGACUCCUCUCUCGUCUCCAACAUGUAGGCACAUUUUUUUGCGAACAGUCGCAUCACAAGUCAGACUGUUGAAAUAACUUAAUUUGAACGUACUUCACCCGUUGUCUGCUGAUUUUUGUCCUUAUAUAGGAGGUCAUCUGAUAAAAAAAUAUUCAGUGUAGUGUUAGUAACCCGACUUUCAGUACGCUGGUCUGUAUGACGGUUUGUAUUUUCAAUGCUGACGCAAUUCGCACGCGACAUGCACAAUAUGUAAACAACCGAAGAACAGACCCAACGUUGUCCCAGACGGGACAUUUCCCAAGCACCGUGACUGCAAGGGAACGGGUUUUGGUCGACAACAUUCGGUUACAUUUGGCUAUUAUUAACAAAUUGUGCAUCACGUGGAAUGCAUCAGGAGAUGGAUAAUACAAGCAACAGAACCUACCGGCGCCGUAAUAAGUCAGUGACUUCUUUCAAACUGAGAUCCAUGGCGUAACCAUAGGAACAGUCUGAUGUUUAGACAAGGCUGACGUCAUCUGUGGGGAUGGAUUGACUCAGUGCAGAAUCACAGAAUAGUUCUUCAGGUGUAGAUGGAUCUGAGACAGUGUGGAGGUGAUCCCCAGAGGUGGAAUGGGCUUGGACCUCCCCCUGCCCAGGAGAGACAGACCGCCCCACAGGACUUGCGUUGACCUCAAACCUAGGCUGGGCCUGUGGAGAUCCACCACGGCCCCCUGGGGCUGCAGCUACCUCAUCUGUGGUGGUGGGGGCAGGACGACCUGUUACAAAAGCAGGGGGCCGUACACACUUCUAUCCAGGGGCUGCAGCUUGUGGGAGCAGUGAGGAGGGAAGGAGAGCAGCACGACGCCAUUGGCUUUGCAGUAGUCCAUGCCCUGGAGUGAGAGGUGAGAGGCUUGAUUAUCCAGAAGCAGCAGCUGUGGGGACACCCUGGUGUACUUCACAAAAUGUUGCAAGAAGGCCAGGAAGUCAUUCUCCAUCAUCCAACCAGAACCACUAGCAGUGCCCAUGCAACCUGUAGGCCCAUCACGUAGGAAGUGAUCAAGAUGUUGUUGGUCCGACCUGCUUCCUCCCUCUGUUGGCAAUGAUUUUGUCCGGCACUUGGACUGUUGUGGUGCUGGUCUCAUCCAUGUUCCACACAUCUUUGGCCUCAAAGUUGUGGCGGCCCAGAAUGUUAAUUCCAGUAAAAGCUUUAGCAUUUUCAAAUGUCUUCCUGAGAGCGCAGCCCUCUACCCUUUUUCAGAAUUCCCAUUCACUGGGGUUUCCAACAUUCCUCUGAGGAUGCUAAGAAUUUUGUUAAUUGUUUACUGUGUUUUAGUUCAGCCGUUGAUGAGUUUCCUCACAUGAUACAUUGAGUUUAAGAUUGAGACACAUCGCUGCACAUUGAGUAGAAGCAAUGUAUGAGAUCUGAUGAGUCCGUGGAAAAGAGCAGACCCUCUGAACUAUCCCUCUAAGAUCCAAGGACCGACUGAUGCUAAUACUGCUAAUAGUAUUACUGUUCAGUCAGUCUACAUCAUGGUUUCCACAAAACUCAACAGAACCGCAUGUUCUCUCUCCGUCUCACUCCUUCUCAACAUGAAAAUGGUCGAAGAGGAGCAAGGCAUGUUUGAUCCGUCUGCCUGUUUUUUUUCUGGCACAUCGUUGCCCCGGAAACGUACAUUUUUUGGACUCUUGUCAUUCUUUUUCUAUUUUCUCUGGCAAUGAACAGCUCUUUGUAGUGUCAUCAUGAACAGUUCAUUCCUACCCCCAGGAACAAAGGCUGCAUUAGACUACCUGUUAAGUUCACUUAGCCCUUUCACACUACCCAUUGGACUGUUGAGACUUAGAGAACGCUUCUGACAGCCGUCCUAUGCCUUGUUAAGUCAUUUAUUGAUCUGUAAUAUUUUGCAUAGCUUUAUUAGAGCUUUAUUCCCUGUGUCAUACUAUUUUCUGUUCCCCCUCACAGUGAGUUUUGGGGGGUUGGUGCACAGCACAUUUCAGUGGUGUGACAGCUGUCUUCCUGAGCUCUCAGAUGACUCUGGGCCUCAUGGCACUAGAAAGAUAUGUUUAUUUGCCACAGCAUCUACUACCUGAGCAUAAUAAUUUCCAGGCAUCUGCAGCUUGCCUUGAGGCUAAGCUGGGUUUUCAGUGUCAGUGUUGGUAGUGAUCAACCUGGGACAAGGUUCUGUUAACAAAGCCACUGCAGGACUAUUCUUGAACCUCGAAUUGUGGAAGGGUCUAUUUGUUUUAUUCCAGAGCAAAAUGUACUGUUCUUCGGCCCUCCCAGCCUCAUCUUGACUCUUUCAGUCAUCAUCAUCCGCUCCUGUUAUGGACGCAUGUAGUAGAAAGCACGCAGGGCUGCUGUGGUAAGCCAAGGUAACAUCUGCCAUGCCGGUAGCACUGUAGCCUUUUACCUCUGCAUGUUUCUACUACAGCUGCUGCCAUUCAUAUACUGUCUAACCUCGACACUACUAAAUCCAAAAAAAACGAAUCAAAUAAAGUUGUAUUAGUCGCAUGCGCCGAAUACAACAGCUGUAGACCUUACAGUGAAAUGCUUACCUACGAGCCCCUAACCAACAAUGCAGUUAAAAAAAAAAAUAAUAGAAAUAAAAGUAACAAGUAAUUGAAGAGCAGCAGUAAAAUAACAAUAGCGAGACUAUAUACAGGGGGGUACCGGUACAGAGUCAAUGUGCAGGUAAUUGAGGUUAUAUGUACAGUUGAAGUCGGAAGUUUACAUACACUUAGGUUGGAGUCAUUAAAACUUGUUUUUCAACCACUCCACAAAUUUCUUGUUAACAAACUAUAGCUUUGGCAAGUUGGUUAGGACAUCUACUUUGUGCAUGACACAAGUAAUUUUUCCAACAAUUGUUUACAAACACAUUAUUUCACAUAUUAUAAUUCACUGUAUCACAAUUCCAGUGGGUCAGAAGUUUACAUACACUAAGUUGACUGUUUCUUUAAACAGCUUGGAAAAUUCUAGAAAAUGAUGUCAUAGCUUUAGAAGCUUCUGAUAAGCUAAUUGACAUCACUGAAUCAAUUGGAGGUGUACCUGUGGAUAUAUUUCAAGGCCUACCUUCAAACUCAGUGCCUCUUUGCUUGACAUCAUGGGAAAAUCAAAAAGAAAUCAGCCAAGACCUCAGAAAAAAAAUUGUAGACCUCCACAAGUCUGGUUCAUCCUUGGGAGCAAUUUCCAAACACCUGACGGUACCACGUUCAUCUGUACAAACAAUAGUACGCAAGUAUAAACACCAUAAACACCAUCCUAGAGAUGAACGUACUUUGGGGUGAAAAGUGCAAAUCAAUCACAGAACAACAGCAAAGGACCUUGUGAAGAUGCUGGAGGAAACAGUUACAAAAGUAUCUAUAUCCACAGUAAAACAAGUCCAAUAUCGACAUAACCUGAAAGGCUGUUCAGCAAGGAAGAAGCCACUGUUCCAAAACCGCCAUAAAUAAAAAGCCAGACUACGGUUUGCAACUGCACAUAGGGGACAAAGAUUGUACUUUUUGGAGAAAUGUCCUCUGGUCUGAUGAACACAAAUAGAACUGUUUGGCCAUAAUGAUCAUCGUUAUGUUUGGAGGAAAAAGGGGGAGGCUUGCAAGCCGAAUAACACCAUCCCAACGUGAAGCACGGGGGUGGCAGCAUCAUGUUGUGGGGGUGCUUUGCUGCAGGAGGGACUGGUGCACAAAUAGAUGGCAUCAUGAGGACGGAAAAUUAUGUGGCUAUAUUGAAGCAACAUCUCAAGACAUCAGUCAGGAAGUUAAAGCUUGGUCGCAAAUGGGUCUUCCAAAUGGACAAUGACCCCAAGCAUACUUCCAAAGUUGUGGCAAAAUGGCUUAAGGACAACAAAGUCAAGGUAUCGGAGUGACCAUCACAAAGCCCUGACCCCAAUCCUAUUGAGAAUUUGUGGGCAGAACUGAAAAGGUGUGUGCGACAAGGAGGCCUACUGACCUGACUCAGUUACACCAGCUCUGUCAGGAGGAAUGGGCCAAAUUUCACCCAACUUAUUGUGGGAAGCUUGUGGAAGGCUACCCGAAACAUUUGACCCAAGUUAAAUAAUUUAAAGGCAAUGCUACCAAAUACUAAUUGAGUGUAGUAAACUUCUGACCCACUGAGAAUGUGAUGGAAGAAAUAAAAGCUGAAAUAAAUCAUUCUCUCUACUAUUAUUCUGACAUUUCACAUUCUUAAAAUAAAGUGGUGAUCCUAACUGACCUAAGACAGGGAAUUUUUACUAGGAUUAAAUGUCAGGGAUUGUGAAAAACUGAGUUUAAAUGAAUUUGGCUAAGGUGUAUGUAAACCUCCGACUUCAAAUGUAUGUGAUCCAACUGUUAAGUUGAAUGCUUUAUCAAAGUGUACACAUAUGUCUGAGGGACAUAAAAGGCACUCUAGUUGUGCAUGGAACGACCCAUUGAGUGAAAUGUUUCUUUAGUAACAUGUGAAAUGUGUUUCUCUGUUGUGAUAAUUACUUUUGUUCUGUUAAUUAAUGUGCUUGCUUCAGCAUGAACACUACUGCACUAACCCAUGUUUUUUAUUAUUCUUUGACGCUCUAGCUCUUAAAGGCCGUAUGCAGCCGUUUCUUUGCUAGGACUCUCUGGGAGUGGUCUGAGUGGGAGGGAUAUGUCAUCUCAAAACGAGCUGUUAUUGGCAGAGAAGUUUGGAACUCUCUUUGUAAGUGAGGGGAAUCGAUUAUCUGGCCUUGGUUACCCCGGUGUGAGGAGAUUGCACCAGGUUAAAAGUGAUUGCAUUCGUUUUGGAACCAGGCUGCCUCCCGGGCGUGAGACAGGUGCCCCAUUCUACGCCCACGGCGAAGUCGACUCAAAACUAAAGUGAUGUAGCCUAGGCUAGAUUAAGCAUGUGUAGUAAUGAGUAGGAGUCUGUUUUCACAUGCAAAAGUGAUUGCUCUUAUAAAAUGCUUUAUUUGCCUUCCCAAUAAAACUAGUUUGAAAAUUCAAACAUAUUUUAUGGAAAAUAGAUGUAUUUUCUGGAUGAUGUUGACCGGUGCACUGCAGCUCAGGUUAAUAGAACUCCCUCAUUGAUCUGUAUUAACUUAUACCGCCUGGUGAUGUCACCAGGCACACUAAACUCCACCAAUGCGAAACCUGCUGAUUAGAAGGUCCUGUGUAGAUUGUAUUUUCAUCCAGCAACUAUCAGGAAAUAACACUGAUUAAAUGUUUCUGUUUUUUACAGUGUUAGUUUAAUCAGCUGUUGUACAAUAUGAUACAAAACACAGGAAAAAACUGCAUUUCCCCUUCACAUACUGAUUUCCACCAAUCACCAGUCACCCCUACCAGUUUCCUGCAGGGGUGGGACUUCCUUCUCCAACAGCCUUAAGUAGCCUCACCUGCUCCUAAUCAAGGUGGUUACCUAAUUGACUGCAAGCUUUUACGAAUUAAUUUGUAAUUUUUGAAGAAUGUGUUUAAAUGUGUAGUAUAGACCUAUGACCUUGAAGUUAUUGAUUUAAGUCCGUUCUUUCGUUUAUACUUAUGCAUUU
rnacentral:lncRNA from 1 species